UACGAAGGGUGCAAGCGUUGUCCGGAAUCACUGGGCGUAAAGGGCGCGUAGGCGGCCCGGUAAGUAGGGGGUGAAAUCCUGCGGCUUAACCGCAGGGCUGCCUUCUAAACUGUCGGGCUCGAGCACGGUAGAGGCAGAUGGAAUUCCCGGUGUAGCGGUGGAAUGCGUAGAGAUCGGGAAGAACAUCAGUGGCGAAGGCGGUCUGCUGGGCCGUUGCUGACGCUGAGGCGCGACAGCGUGGGGAGCAAACAGG
rnacentral:rRNA from 1 species